GGAACACAGCAUGUGACCAACUGCAUUUUAGAAAAGAAAAAACAGCAACUGCUGACUUCAAAGCUUAGUCGAAAAGUUUCCCAGAGAUUAUGGGUUGAGGAGGAAUUGGAAGUUUGUCGGCUUAGACCUGGUGUCAUUCCAUCAGUGUUAAACUUCCAGGCUCAUCUUGGAAGAGUACGUGCCAGAAAGACCACGACCAAGCAGCCUUGAGAUCUUAGGCAGCGUCUCCCUGAGGUCCCUCUCUGUCUCCCCACACAUCCACCAACCACUGGAACACAUCUCCAAAGUUCUGCCAGGCCAGCUCAGCUUCCCCUCAGAAGAAGUGCUGCCAUCUGCCAGAUGAAGGAGCCUUUUGAGAGGCAGCUGGCAUCGUGAUUGGACUGUACUUUGGUCUGUUCCAAUCCAGCUUCAGCUCCAGAGACGGCAGGCGGGACGAGUCAACGGAGGCCUGGUGGACGAAGGCAUGCAGCUGAGUACAAUCCAGAAAACAACAGAGGAGGAGUGCAGCAGU
ensembl:lncRNA